rnacentral:sRNA from 21 species
GCGGAGACAAAUGUUUCCGUUCACUCCUCACACCACACUCCGCCCGGACUACUGUUCGGGCGGUU